rnacentral:lncRNA from 1 species
UUUUAUAGUCCAUUUUUUUCGCCCUCAACCCUUUUAUAGUCCAUUUCUGUUUUGGGCCUCGGCCUUUUUACAUUCCAUAUACUUUUUGGGCCUUGGCCUUUUCGUUUGUCCCACUGGUCAUCUUUCUAUUUCUCACACUUUCACAAUAAACAAAUGAAAAAUAUUUCAAAUGGCAAGAGAACAUACUAAACUGUUAAAAUGAUAGCCAAUAUUAGCACCAAAUAUGCUGACUACUGUACAACAUACGAGAUUACAGUAUUUACAAUAGUGUUCAUACAACCAGAUAUGCUAGCCACUGUACAACAUAACUAGCACUACUAACUCGCUACUCUUUACUUUGUCGGGCUUCAAGCUUCUUCAAAUUUCUUCAGCCCGGAGCUCCUGUAAAGAGAGGUAACACCACACUUUUAGAGCUAGAUCAAGGCACAAAAUGUUUAUUUGGUUGGCUCAUGCUGCAACAACCACAUAGAAGCAUAAUUAUAAGCACAAAUACACCAGCCAUCUCAGUUCAAGCAAAUGAUCUAUAUUAGCAAAGCAUGAAAAAGGAAGCAGCACAUGGCAGGAAUAUUUACAACAUCUCAGUUGAUGACUUCAAAUAGGAAUAAUGUAUACAAGUAUAAUAGAAAAAUAUGAGAAACUAUCACAGUACAUAAAUGGUAUCGCAGAAUUAUAUAGCUAACUCAAUGACAGAUUAAAAUGUUUUACUCAACAUAUGGAACUCAAAAGAACUUUUCUGGUUAGUCAAGAGCAUCUUAACUGCAGAAAUUAGAUAGUAUGAAGGCAAUAUUCUAAUGAUCAAAACCGAUGAAGCUGGAAACAUAAUAUAAGCAGAAGUCAAUUGUAUCUACUCAUAUUUUGUGUGUCCAAGUAGGUACCGGUGGAAGGGUGUACCUGAAUGUAGGGCGUGAGGAUCUAGAGCGCCCACCUAAACUGGAGCUGUAGUAACCAUGCAGGC